rnacentral:rRNA from 1 species
UACGAAGGGUGCAAGCGUUACUCGGAAUUACUGGGCGUAAAGCGUGCGUAGGUGGUGAGUUAAGUCUGUCGUGAAAGCCCCGGGCUCAACCUGGGAAUGGCGAUGGAUACUGGCUCGCUAGAGUGCGGUAGAGGAGAGUGGAACUCCCGGUGUAGCAGUGAAAUGCGUAGAGAUCGGGAGGAACAUCAGUUGCGAAGGCGGCUCUCUGGACCAGCACUGACACUGAGGCACGAAAGCGUGGGGAGCAAACAGG